GAUCCGCAUAUGUUUGGUAAAAGGACAAGAUUGUUCUUUUACCACACAAAUGAUAAGCUCGUAGAGGAUGUUUCUCAUAUCCCUACUACUUGACGUAGCAGCGAAUCUAGAACUCCUCAUUCGUGGAUUAUACAUUAAGUCGACCAGAGGGUGCCAGCAAACCCCUUUCACAUUCGGAGGGGAGGUUGACUAAUGCCAUGAACAAACAUAUAAGAAUGAUUUUAUGGUGCUGGCUG
rnacentral:lncRNA from 1 species